UUUUUUUUUUUAAUAUGACUCCAGCCAGUGAUAAGGCUGAAGUAGGUUUAUUUUUUCCCAGUCUGCUUUUAUACCGUUCUAAGUACAUGCGAAGAAUAAGGUCAGUUCUAGGUCAAGGAAAAAACAAGUCAAUAAAAAAAGUCCCAUGGCAUUCAGGGACUUAAUCAAGAUAAUCAAGAUCUUGAGCCUACUCCUUCUCCUAGCCCAGUGUCAAAUUCCUGCCAAAUUUCUAGAAGUGGCCCCAAGAGCUCUCCACAUCUCCCUCUUUUUGAUUUUAUAAACAAGACUUAGGUUGUUUUGACAAGAAGCAUUAUCAAAAGCAAUGCAUUUCUGUCUUAGGUUGAUGAGACUUGGUGCAGAAUCUUACCUGACUUUGAUUGACAGCCUCUUAAUGUCUCUGUCUGGGGAUCCAGUAUUAGUUUCAAGCUGUGUAGGUUGGUCACCAACAUUGUUAUUGUUAAACACACCCAGCUUACAUGUUGAUCUUAAGAUUCUUUUUUUUUUUUUUUUUUUUUUUUGGUUUUUCGAGACAGGGUUUUUCUGUGUAGCCCUUGGCUGUCCUGGAACUCACUCUGUAGACCAGGCUGGCCUCGAACUCAGAAAUCCGCCUGCCUCUGCCUUCCAAGUGCUGGGAUUAAAGGCGUGCGCCACCACUCCCGGCUUAAGAUUCUUUAUAUACUUUGCUGUCCCACAUCCCACUUGAGAGUUGUAUUCCCAAAAAUUGUACCUCAGGGCUGAAAGAUGAUUACAUUUCUAUAAUUUCAUUCAUUCAGCACUGAUAAGGGCCAUAGUGUCUGUUUAAGACAUGUUACACUGCAUAGGUCUAUUUGUAGUUACAAAGGAAGCUUUAGACUCCCUGUAGUACAAAUUGAUUGGGAUGCCUGCAUCAUAUGUGUAGCUUGAAGUUGUCUUAGUGUGAUGCAAGAUUAAAAAUACAAGAUUUAGGUGGGGUAUAGUGGCACAUUAUGUCAGAAGACAACAAAUCUCUUGAGUUUUAGCCUAGACUAUGUAGCAAGUUCCAGGACAGCCAGGACUACACAACUACAUACAGAGAAACCCUCUAGGAUGGGAGGUUACAAUAAUGAUGUGAUUAUAUCAGCUUGUAUACCUGAGUGUACAAAAGCCAGGAGAGUCUGGCCGUGCUUGUCUUGAGAGCUAUUCUUGGGUGUGCUUGUAGGGUAUGAUGUUGGACUAUUUAAAAUAUUAUAUAUGCUUUCUGGUGCUUUUCUACUGAGAAUGUGGUGAAAUAACAAUUUUAAAAAGGAAUCCAGUGGUAGAUUGUAUUGUAUUAAGUGAUAAUAGUGAAGGUGUAACCAUUAAAGAAAAAUAAGGAAAACCAAAACAUAAAGUAAAGGCUACAACUACUGAUAGAGUCAUAGAGCUUUGGGUGUGUUGCUCUGUUUGGGUUUUUUGUUGUUUGUUUCAAGACAGGGUUUCUCUGGUGGCCGUGGAUGUCCUAGAACUAGUUCUGUAGACCAGACUGGCCUUGAACUCACAGAGAUCUGCCUUUGCCUCCCAAGUGCUGGGCUAAAGGCAUAAACCACUAUGCCUGACUUUUAGAGCUUUGUUUAAGAUGUUAAGAUGUACUUAUUUCUUUAGUAUAUGUGCUGCCGAGAUCAGCACAAGAUGUUAUUUCUUUAAAGAGAAUUUUAAAAUCUUUUAGCAGUUUGUGAUGUCACAGCCUUGUAUUUAAGAUAGUCUUGAGACCAUAAAGACCUAACAGGUUUUGUUUUGGAUUUAUUUACCUGAUUGAGUGUUCUUCCUGCUUUUUUUAUGUGCCCCAUUUGCAUGCAGUGCCUUUGGAGGCCGAAGUGAGGGCAUCAGAUCCCCUUGGCGUGCAGAUACUGAUGAUAGUGGGUGCUUAGAACUGUACCUGGGUUCUUUACCACUGUCCCCCAGUAAAGAAUUGUGUUGCUUUGUGGUUUUUUUGUUUUUGUUUUUUGAGAUAGGAUUUCACUGUGUGAAGCAGGCUGGAUUUAAUUCAUAGCUAUCUACCUGCCUCAGCUUUCCAAAUGCCAGGGCUUAAGGACUAGAGGAGAGGACAAGCUGGCUUAUUGGUGCUCCCUUUUUCUUACUAUGUAGCUCUGGCCAUCCAUCCUCGAACUCACUCUUGUGGACCAGCCUGGCCUUGAAUUCAUCAUCUGCCUCUGCCUCCCCAGUGCUAGGAGUUAAGGCAUGCACCACCAUCCCCAGGUUAUAGAACCCACAGUCUUGUGCAUGAUCGACAAACUCUACCACUGAGCCAAAUUUUAGUAAACAUCAGAUGAUCCAUCGGAGGUUCAACCGUCAGCUUUGCAUUAGCUUUAAAGUCUAGACUUGUUCUAGAUAUUUGCAUGUUGACAUUUAAGCUGGAAAAGAAAGCUGUAAACUUAGGUGAAGUUUUCUUAUUGGGCCAUGUAUAUGUUAAUUCACUUCCCCAAGACUGACAUUGACAACAAAUUUCCUUUGGCUUUGGGCAUUCUCUUUAUCAUUGGCUACUAGCCAGGCUCAUUUAUAAAGGGUCCUACAUUAUCCAGAAAAAGACUAAACCCCUGUUAGAUGUUUGUCCUGUUAACCAUCCAGGGUACACCUGGUCAUUACCUAAAAUUGUUUUGAGUGAAACUUUAUUAGGCCAUUUGAACCCUACUAGUGUUUGAGGGCAGCUGUCAUUAGUACUCAAGGCCUAUCCUUUCCUUAGAGGAUAGGACACUAUACUUGACUGUGGUCUAGGUGGGUGUGAGUCUGUUUCUUAGAACCUGGCUAAGGAGCAAUUCAUUUCUGGUCUCUUGGUUUUCAUAGUUUUGGCAAGUGUCGUCCUAUAUAUAAUCUUCAAUCUGAGGUUUCUCAGAAGCAGCAGGAAAAUCAAUUGGGCUUAUUUUGUUUGCUUUCUCUGGACCCUUUGAACUGUCUUUGUUUAAAAAUCUC
rnacentral:lncRNA from 1 species